AUUGAACGCUGGCGGCAUGCCUUACACAUGCAAGUCGAACGGUAACAGGUUAAGCUGACGAGUGGCGAACGGGUGAGUAAUAUAUCGGAACGUGCUCAGUCGUGGGGGAUAACGUAGCGAAAGCUACGCUAAUACCGCAUACGAUCUACGGAUGAAAGCGGGGGAUCGCAAGACCUGGCGCGAUUGGAGCGGCUGAUAGCAGAUUGGGUUGUUGGUGAGGUAAAAGCUCACCAAGCCUGCGAUCUGUAGCUGGUCUGAGAGGACGACCAGCCACACUGGAACUGAGACACGGUCCAGACUCCUACGGGAGGCAGCAGUGGGGAAUUUUGGACAAUGGACGCAAGUCUGAUCCAGCAAUGCCGCGUGCAGGACGAAGGCCUUCGGGUUGUAAACUGCUUUUGUACAGAACGAAAAGGUUUCUACUAAUACUAGGAGCUCAUGACGGUACUGUAAGAAUAAGCACCGGCUAACUACGUGCCAGCAGCCGCAGUAA
rnacentral:rRNA from 1 species